CAACAACGGAUCUCUUGGUUCUGGCAUCGAUGAAGAACGCAGCGAAAUGCGAUAAGUAGUGUGAAUUGCAGAAUUCAGUGAAUCAUCGAAUCUUUGAACGCACAUUGCGCCCCUUGGUAUUCCAUGGGGCAUGCUUGUUCGAGCGUCAUUUGUACUCUCAAGCUCUGCUUGGUGUUGGGU
rnacentral:rRNA from 1 species